rnacentral:tRNA from 1 species
CGGGGUGUGGCGCAGCUUGGUAGCGCGUCUGUCUGGGGGGCAGAAGGUCGCAGGUUCAAUUCCUGUCACUCCGACCA